rnacentral:lncRNA from 1 species
CCAUGAAAACAAGCAAGUUCACAAGUAUGAAGAAUAUAGAAGCACCUUUACCUCAGCUAAGGGGCUCAAGGAAGGUUUAUUGGAUGUGACUUUCUUGGAGCUAUCUGGGCUUCAAAAUAUACUUAAAUAUUCAUAUGCAUAAAAGAAGGUGGGGGAAUUUUAGCUGCAGAUGUUGGUAAAGCAGAAGAGAGAAGAGAGCAAGGUAGAAUCAGAAGACUGAGUGUUCCAUUGUGACCAAACAUCUGUUGUAGAAAAUCUGGUCAUGAAGAGAUACCUUGGGUUACACUUCAUGUUCUUUAUAAAAUACUACAGCAGAUGAAUAAAUACAUUAAUAGCAUGUUAUUUGUAUAUGUGUGUGUGUGUGUGUGUGUGUGUGUGAGAAUGCUGUUCUUCUGGUAAAACUUGUUAAUUGUCUAUGUUCAUUUAUUGAAGAAUGUGUUUAGUAUCUGAAUAAUUUUGCAUGGUGGGAUCUGUAAUGUUAUAUUUUCUCCUUUAAGCAUUGAAAUUCAUCAUGUAAGGCAGUGGUCCCCAACCUUUUUGGCACCAGGGACUGGUUUUGUGGAAGACAGUUCUUCCGUGGACUCGGGGUCGGGGAGCGGUUGGUUUCAGAAUGGAACCGUUUCACCUUAGAUCAUCAGGUGUUAAGUUCUUAUAAGGGGCAUGCAACCUAGAUCCCUCACUUGAGCAGUUCAUAACAGGGUUCAUGCUCCUGUGAGAAUCUUUUAUUAUUAUUAUUAUUAUUAUUAUACUUUAUGUUCUGGGGUACAUGUGCAGAACGUGCAGGUUUGUUACAUAGGUAUAAACAUGCCAUGGUGGUUUGCUGCACCCAUCAACCCGUCAUCUACAUUAGGUAUUCAUCCUAAUGCUAUCCGUCCACUGUAAGAAUCUUAUGCCCCUGCUGCUGCUGCUGAUCUGACGGGAGGCUUAGCUCAGGUCAUAAUACUUGGUUGCCCACUGCUUACCUCCUGCUGAGUAGCCUGGUUCCUAAUAUGUUGGGGACUCCUUGUGUAAGGACUUUUUUACAGUUUAAAAGAAAUCUGUCUAACUUCUCAUCAACAUUUCUUCCCCUACGGUUUUCCUUAUUCCCAAUUGGUUUUCAAAUGCAAUGAUAAGUAUUACUAAUUAAUAUUAUUUAUGUAGGCUCUAGGCGAAAAAAUCAGUUAGCAAAUUGAUAUUUGUUUAUAAACAACAUUUUUGGGCAGAGGUGCUCUUGUGAAUGCCAGAGCACUGCUGCUUUGAGUUGAUUUAAGAAAAUAAAUAGUAAGGAGCAUCUAGAAAUUCAAGUCCAACUGAUUUACCAUUUACUCUAUUAUUUUGGGUCUGUACAGAUUUAGCUCAUUAAACACCUUUUAAGAAUCUCUUUUUGCUAAAAGUAGAUGGAGAAAAAAGUACCAAAACAGUCUUUGAAAAAAAUUACUAUUUGCAAAAAAGAUUACAGAAGAAGCAAAACACUGAAUUCAAAAUAAUUAUAAUUUGAGUGGAGCCUCUUAUAGUUUCUGAAGUACCAGUGCAAAAUGAUAGGAAUAGAGAGAGAAUAUUUUAAGUGUAGACAAAUUAAUGCCAAUCAAAGUGAGUUAGAAUGUGUUUGUGUUUUUUGUUUAUAUAUGCUUAUCUUCUUAUUCUGCUAGUAUGUGAAAACAUAUGCUUUUAAGUGCCAGGGAUUUAAAGAUAAAUGUAACAACCUCCAUUCUGAAGGAGCUGACAUUCUAGUAGGAGAAACACAUUUUUAAACCAAUAAUUAAAACACAGAGAGUGAGUCAAACGUAUUGAGCUCUGCUGGAAGUAUAUCAGAGAGCAAGUCAAUCAACUCAACUUGGGGUGGGAGUAGUGAGGUCAGAAAUGAUUCACAGAGGUGUGAGGUUUACACUGAAGCUUGAAGGAUAAGGGGGACUUUCCCAUGUGGACACUGGAGGAGAGCAGUGCAGGCCUGGGGCACAGAACAACGUAUAGUCUGAUUGCUAGAAUCUGACAGGAGGAUGAGUGUUAGAAAGUGACUGAAGCAAACAGGUUCAGGUGGGUCUUACAGAGAUUAGGAUGCCAUCUUGAGGUGUUUGAAAAUUUCUCCAGAGGCUCCGCAUUGCCUUCAGAUUAAUUAGGCAAGUAACCUGCCCAGAUCUGUUUUUAGAAAUAGAACUCCUGUAGAUGUGUAGAAGAGUGAUGGGAAAGAGAAAGGACUGAUGUCCUUCUUUUCAUUGAAAAAGAUAUUGUUUAGGUCCUACAAUGGCUUAGGUAUGGUUUGAGACUCUGGGGUUACAAAGCAAAGAAAACCUGGCCUCUGCCCUGCUCAGAGAACAGCAGGGAUAGCAUGUUAGCAAAUAAGUAUAUAGUGUGGAAAGGUCUGUAGUCAAUAGCAGUCAUUUUGACAAUAGGAAAAGGAAUGUGUGAAACUUCUGGGUCUGUGUGUGUGUUGGGGUUGGUGGGUCAAGGGAGGGGAUCCAAAGAUGGUUUCACUAAGAAGGGAAAAACACCGGACCUGAGACUUGAAUGCAAGUAGAAUUUUGCCAGGCAGAUGAUCUGUUCUUCCAGGUAGAUAAUCCAUCCUGGGCAGACAAAACCAGGCUGUAGAAGGAACACCAUGUGUGGAGCAAUAGAAAUAUCUCAUUGUUACUGGAGUAUAAUGCAUGCAAGAAGCAGGCAAGGUAGACAGGGGCCACCGUGAAGGAA